rnacentral:rRNA from 1 species
UGAGGAACAUGACCUUCGGCGGGGGAUAGCCGGCCCAACGGCCGGGUAAUACCGCGUACGACCACAUGGGGACAUCCCUGAGUGGUGAAAGCAGCAAUGCGCCGAUGGAGUGCCUCGCGGCCUAUCAGCUAGUUGGUGAGGUAACGCUCACCAAGGCAACGAUGCGUAGCCGACCUGAGAGGGUGAUCGGCCACAUUGGAACUGAGACACGGUCCAGACCUGUACGGGGAG